rnacentral:rRNA from 1 species
UGCGAAGGGGGCGAGCGUUGUUCGGAUUUACUGGGCGUAAAGGGCGCGUAGGCGGCCCUCCUUGUCGCGUGUGAAAGCCCCGGGCUCAACCUGGGAACGGCGCGCGAGACGGGGGGGCUGGAGUUCGGGAGAGGAGCGUGGAAUUCCCAGUGUAGAGGUGAAAUUCGUAGAUAUUGGGAAGAACACCGGUGGCGAAGGCGGCGCUCUGGACCGAGACUGACGCUGAGGCGCGAAAGCGUGGGGAGCAAACAGG